rnacentral:lncRNA from 1 species
UAUUUCUCAACAAAAUCCCCACAAAAGAUUGAAGGAAAAUUUCAAUAAUGUAUUUAGAAACAUGAAGUGUACAAAUAUUCACCAAAUAUCCUGUUAAAGUGAACUCACUCAACAAUUAACCAUGCAAAAUAGAGGACUUUCAAACUGUGCAAAUUGGAGUAAUUUCUCCAAAAAGUAACCAGAAGAUAACAAAGUAUUUGCUCAUAAAAUAAAUGUGAUUUUAGAAAGGUAAAUAAGUAUAAUUAAUAAGAGAAUAUUAAGAAAUUAAAUGAAUAUAUUCAUGUUAAAAGGACAGGGAUAAAUGCCACAUUUUUUAUGACACAUUUGUGGGUAAGCUAUUUGGGGUAUCAAAAGAAUAAAGGAGAGAAAAGGGAGAAGUAAACUAAAAUUUCUUUGAGGAUAACUUACUUUAGUUAAUUGUUAUUUUGCUACCUAAAUAGGUACUACAGAAGGUCUAUGAAGUGAAGGAAAAGGGGAAAUCCAGUUACAUAUAGUCAUUGGGUUGGAAUUCCAGAUAUGAAUUUGAAUUAUCUAUUUCUGUCUCUCUUGAUUUCUAGGUUCUUCUUGCUUUUUAUCCACACAUAUACAUACACCUGCAUAUCAGUAGACAGUGCUCCCUGAUGGUUUAUGGGUAUAGUAGGUGACCUGGCAUUUGUAUGAUUUCCAAAACUGAGGCUGUCCAGUUACUAAGAAAAGUCAGAAGUAUCCCAAAUCAAAGCAAACGGCAGAUCUGCUGAAUCCUCCAAACUGCACAUCUCUGAGAUCCCCUUCUGAUUGAAAAUACACCUGAGUGGUUUAAGGCUGAAGUUGUUGCCCUUGGAACAGAGCCAAGAUAUUGCUGUUACCCCGAAGAAUGACUUCAUUGGCUCUGUGUUGUAAACAAAGUAAAUCAAUGAGCCACAGAAGCACCUAUAACUUCAGAAAAGUUAUCAUAUUCCCAUCUCAUACUGAGGCAUUUUGGGCAAGAGUUUACUUCAUUGAAAGCACUGGGACAGACCCAGGAGCAAUGGUUGGAGACUACAGAAAGGCGAAUUGAAUAUUAAUGUCAAAGGAAAUAUCUUAACAAAUGCAGCUAUAAAAAUAGUAAAAUCACCUAUAUUUGGGCUC